UUCUAUAAUUUUUUGAAGAUGAAAGAUUCUCGAAUUCCCGGCCAAUGCACCAAAUGAAAGACCCUCGAGGGGAGACCCUCACUCAGACACUCAAGUCCCGGGACAGCCGCGUACCCAAGAAGACACUGAGACCA
rnacentral:pre_miRNA from 7 species